rnacentral:rRNA from 1 species
GGCAGCCGCGGUAAUUCCAGCUCCAAUAGCGUAUAUUAAAGUUGUUGCAGUUAAAAAGCUCGUAGUUGAAUUUCGGGAUCAAUUUGCUGGUCGUGCCUCUGGUACGUACUGGUAUUAUUGGUUUCUCCCUUCUGACGAACCAUGAUGUCAUUAAUUUGAUGUCGUGGAGAAUCAGGACUGUUACUUUGAAAAAAUUAGAGUGUUUAAAGCAGGCAUUAGCUUGAAUACAUUAGCAUGGAAUAAUGAAAUAGGACGUUUGAUCCUAUUUUGUUGGUUUCUAGGAUUGACGUAAUGAUUAAUAGGGAUAGUUGGGGGCAUUAGUAUUCAAUUGUCAGAGGUGAAAUUCUUGGAUUUAUUGAAGACUAACUACUGCGAAAGCAUUUGCCAAGGAUGUUUUCAUUAAUCAAGAACGAAAGUUAGGGGAUCGAAGACGAUCAGAUACCGUCGUAGUCUUAACCAUAAACUAUGCCGACUAGGGAUCGGAUGAUGUUAAUUUCUUAAUGACUCAUUCGGCGCCUUACG